rnacentral:lncRNA from 1 species
GUAGUUGCUGGAGUUUGGGAUGAUAGAAGUGUGUAUGAAGUAACAAGAGAAUAGAAGAAAGAAAAUAUUAAUGCUGCAGAACUUUAUUAAGAAUGAAUAGAAAUAGAAUUGCUUAAUGUUGACAGCAAUCUAGUAGAUAUUUAUAGAAUCAAAUAACAACUGAAAUAGCUAAAAUAAAGCCAUGAUCUGUUAACAAACUAACAGAUUUAACAACUUCCUAAAGACUAGGACAAGCUAUUAUUAUUGCAGGAAAAUAUAAACUGAAAAACAGAAUCGUUGACUGCAGCUUCUUGAAGCAAACUUCAACACUCCUCCUUGCUUUAAGAAAUGCAAACUCCUAACAUUUUCCUUAGAUACUCAAACCUACUUACUGGAAGUGGUUUUGUAAAUAAGUCAGCAAGUUGAUCUUCAGACUUGCAAUAAAUUAACUUAAUAUCACCAUUUUUCUGCACUUC